UAAUACAUGCAAGUCGAACGAACCAUCCUGAUGAUUGAAGCUUGCUUCAUGAUUCAGACCUUGGUGAGUGGCGGACGGGUGAGUAACACGUGGGUAACCUGCCCAGAAGUGGGGGAUAACAUUUGGAAACAAGUGCUAAUACCGCAUAACAACUUAGAUCACAUGAUCUUUGUUUAAAAGAUGGUUUUGCUAUCUCUUCUGGAUGGACCCGCGGCGUAUUAGCUAGUUGGUGAGGUAAUAGCUCACCAAGGCGAUGAUACGUAGCCGACCUGAGAGGGUAAUCGGCCACAUUGGGACUGAGACACGGCCCAAACUCCUACGGGAGGCAGCAGUAGGGAAUCUUCCACAAUGGACGAAAGUCUGAUGGAGCAAUGCCGCGUGAGUGAAGAAGGUUUUCGGAUCGUAAAACUCUGUUGUUGAAGAAGAACAUAUGUGAGAGUAACUGUUCACGUACUGACGGUAUUCAACCAGAAAGCCACGGCUAACUACGUG
rnacentral:rRNA from 1 species